rnacentral:tmRNA from 1 species
GGGGCUGAUUCUGGAUUCGACGGGAUUUGCGAAAUCCAAGGUGCAUGCCGAGGGGCGGUUGGCCUCGUAAAAAGCCGCAAAAAAAUAGUCGCAAACGACGAAACCUACGCUUUAGCAGCUUAAUAACCUGCUUAGAGCCCUCUCUCCCUAGCCUCCGCUCUUAGGACGGGGAUCAAGAGAGGUCAAACCCAAAAGAGAUCGCGCGGAUGCCCUGCCUGGGGUUGAAGCGUUAAAAGGAAUCAGGCUAGUCUGGUAGUGGCGUGUCCGUCCGCAGGUGCCAGGCGAAUGUAAAGACUGACUAAGCAUGUAGUACCGAGGAUGUAGGAAUUUCGGACGCGGGUUCAACUCCCGCCAGCUCCACCA